UAGCCGGCCUGAGAGGGCGACCGGCCACACUGGGACUGAGACACGGCCCAGACUCCUACGGGAGGCAGCAGUGGGGAAUAUUGGGCAAUGGACGAAACUCUGACCCAGCGACGCCGCGUGCGGGAUGAAGGCCUUCGGGUUGUAAACCGCUUUCAGUAGGGAAGAAGCGAAAGUGACGGUACCUGCAGAAGAAGCACCGGCUAACUAUGUGCCAGCAGCCGCGGUAAUACAUAGGGUGCAAGCGUUGUCCGGAAUUAUUGGGCGUAAAGAGCUCGUAGGUGGUUCGUCACGUCGGAUGUGAAAAUCUGGGGCUCAACCCCAGACCUGCAUUCGAUACGGGCGAACUAGAGUGUGGUAGGGGAGACUGGAAUUCCU
rnacentral:rRNA from 1 species